CGGGUGAGUAACGCGUGGGUAACCUGCCUCAUACAGGGGGAUAACAGUUAGAAAUGACUGCUAAUACCGCAUAAGCGCACAGUGCUGCAUGGCACAGUGUGAAAAACUCCGGUGGUAUGAGAUGGACCCGCGUCUGAUUAGCUAGUUGGUGGGGUAACGGCCUACCAAGGCGACGACCAGUAGCCGGCCUGAGAGGGUGAACGGCCACAUUGGGACUGAGACAUGGCCCAAACUCCUACGGGAGGCAGCAUG
rnacentral:rRNA from 1 species